rnacentral:rRNA from 1 species
GCCCCAUAGUCUGGGAUACCACUUGGAAACAGGUGACUAAUACCGGAUAAGAAAGCAGAUCGCAUGAUCAGUACUUUAAAAAGGCGGCGUAAGCUGUCGCUAGUGGGAUCGGCCCGCGGUGCAUUAGCUAGUUGGUAAGGUAAAGGCUUACCAAGGCGAUGAUGCAUAGCCCGAGUUGAGAGACUGAUCGGGCCACAUUGGGGACUGAGACACGGGGCCCAAACGCCUACGGGGGGAGGGGGCAGCAGUAGGGGGAAUCUUCCACAAUGGACGCAAGUCUGAUGGAGCAACGCCGCGUGAGUGAAGAAGGUUUUCGGAUCGUAAAGCUCUGUUGUUGGUGAAGAAGGAUAGAGGUAGUAACUGGCCUUUAUUUGACGGUAAUCAACCAGAAAGUCACGGCUAACUACGUGCCAGCAGCCGCGGUAAU